rnacentral:misc_RNA from 2 species
AACGCAUCUUGCGCUCUGUGGCAUUCCGCAGAGCAUGUCUGUCUGAGUGUUGUGAAUCCUCGUCACUCCGACACGCCCUCCCGCAUGUCGCCUGUGCACGGACCGUGGCCGCUGCCGGUUCCCCCCGGCUCGGCUAAAAUCAAACAGGGCAGCGCCCGUCGCGGCUUGAUAGUAAUGGUUACACACUACCCCCUUGGAGACGCCUCAGGCGCUGCCCCAAUCACACCCACCACGCACACGCGCACAACACAACGCACACGCUCCCACACCCACCGUGCGGCGUGUCGUGUCGCGUCGUGUCGUGCGUGCGCGGUCUUUCUAAGCAUCAACCUCAGAUCAGGCAGGACUACCCGCUGAACUUAA